UCGGCCUACGGGAGGCAGCAGUAGGGAAUUUUCGUCAAUGGGCGCAAGCCUGAACGAGCAAUGCCGCGUGAACGAGGAAGGUCUUCGGAUCGUAAAGUUCUGUUGAAGGGGAAAAAGAGCGGAGAGAGGAAAUGGUCUCCGAUUGAUAUUACCCUUCGAGGAAGUCACGGCUAACUACGUGCCAGCAGCCGCGGUAAUACGUAGGUGGCGAGCGUUAUCCGGAUUUACUGGGUGUAAAGGGAGCGUAGGCGGCCUGGCAAGCCUGAUGUGAAAUACCGGGGCCCAACCCCGUGGCUGCAUUGGGA
rnacentral:rRNA from 1 species